rnacentral:lncRNA from 1 species
UUCUAUUGAUUUGUCUUUAUCAAUUAGUCCUCGGGAGGAACAAGUAAGUGUUAGAAUGAAAAAUGAUCUUAUAACAAUGAUCGAUCAGUAAAUUUUCACCACAGCCUUUCCUUCAGAAAUUCCACAAAUUAAAGUAGAAUGAUGAAUAAUAGACUCCAAAAUAUGAAAUAAGAGAAUUCUAACAUGGUAAAUUUAUCCUUUCCAUAUAUGUACCUAUAAUAGAUUUGUAUCUAAUUAAUGAUGUAAAAAUGUGAAUCUGACAACAUCACACGUUAGGGUUCUUUUAAAACAAAGGAAGAAAGAGUAGAAACAUGCAGCAAUCAGAAUACAGAGUAAUGCUUUGUAAGCUCAUCAAAAGUUGAGAAAUAUAUA